rnacentral:rRNA from 1 species
CCCUUAGAUGUCCGGGGCCGCACGCGCGCUACAAUGGAUGAAUCAACGCGUCAUCCUGGCCCGAAAGGGUUGGGGAACCGCUGAACCUCAUCCGUGGUUGGGAUUGGGGUUUGUAAUUAUUCCCCAUGAACUAGGAAUUCCCAGUAAGCGCGAGUCAUAAGCUCGCGUUGAUUACGUCCCCGCCCUUUGUACACACCGCCCGUCGCUACUACCGAUUGGAUGGUUUAGUGAGAUCCUCGGAUUGGUCACGGCACGGUGGCAACACUGCGUCGGUGUGCCGAGAAGACGAUCAAACUUGGUCAUCUAGAGGAAGUAAAAGUCGUAACA